GUAAAUUAUUCGGUCAUUUUAUACUUUGUUUUGAAUGAGUGACAAAAAAGAGACUUUGUAUAGGUAUUGACCCUUUGCCUUACUCUUAAUAAGAGCAAAGAGGGGUAUUUUAAGGAGCCCUGGCUGCGAGAAAUACCUCAAUGGUCAAGACUGAAAAUAAUGGAUUUUUGGCCAAAUGGAUUGGACCCCCACUGGGUUUCGAAUUUGAGGCAUGAUGCAUAAGAGUUUGUUACAUGAUUGAAAUGCAUGAAACCUUGUGUUCAUGUUUUACAUGGUUGGACUUGUUGAUUUGACAUUUAAUGUCUCCAUAAUGUUUGAUAUUGUUUAAUUAUAGAAAU
rnacentral:lncRNA from 1 species